rnacentral:tRNA from 1 species
AGGGUCGUAGCUUAAAUAAAAGCGUGGAACUUUUAAUUCCAAUAUGUAGAAGAAUACCGACGCUU